UUCCUCUUGGCUGUGGAGCCACAUGAGUGACGGUGAGCUGGAACCAGAAGAAAACAGGGACUGAAGCCAGUCUUGACAAUACAGAAAUUCAUUGAGGACAGUUCAUGAACACCUACAUGCACCACCGGAGUCCAUGCCAGCCCCUGUCCUCCCACCUGCCCACCUCUACUCACAUUCAUCCCUAGGAUACCUGGAUGCCUUUCAAGGCAAACUGCAGAUCAAGUGUUUGGACAUGUUGGGGGCUUAUUGACCCUGGAAGAUGGCCUUCCUGGUUACCAAUUCUUAGAGAGAGCAAAGGAUACCCUUGGAUGUCACCUGAACCGCUCAGUACCUGUCCUAAUCACCCCUGAGCCAGGUACAGACAUCUGGGGACAGCUGCUCAGGGAACUCAAGAUGGAAGAUCCUCAGCCUGCUGACCACCACUCCGGUCCUUCUGUGAAAACCACACCACAGACUCCUGUCUGCAGUGCCCUCCCUCUGCCCCCUGGUUGCCCUGCGCAUCCCCCUGGCCUGCCUGAGGGGCCUCCUGCUUCUAGCACUCUGUGAGAACAAACCUCUUCCUUACCACAGUGUUCCGUUCCCGAUUAAAAGAAACUCCAGGUGUCUUUUAAGAAGAUUCCUGGUGUCUCAUGAUAAAAGUAAACCAAUCUCAGAAACAUUCUCACUCAUGAGAGUGAGACCACACAUGGGAGAUGGUUGCGGAGUCUGCAGUGCAGAGGGCUUGGCUUCUCCAUCG